CCUACGGGAGGCAGCAGUGAGGAAUAUUGGUCAAUGGGCGGAAGCCUGAACCAGCCAAGUAGCGUGCAGGAUGACGGCCCUACGGGUUGUAAACCGCUUUUAUCCGGGCAUAACGUGCCUUACGUGUGGGUCUUUGCAUGUACCUUAUGAAUAAGGACCGGCUAACUCCGUGCCAGCAGCCGCGGUAAUACGGAAGGUCCGGGCGUUAUCCGGAUUUAUUGGGUUUAAAGGGAGCGUAGGCCGCAUGUCAAGCGUGCUGUGAAAUGUCCGGGCUCAACCCUGGCCUUGCAGCGCGAACUGGCGUGCUUGAGUGCGCGGAAGGCAGGCGGAAUUCGUGGUGUAGCGGUGAAAUGCUUAGAUAUGACGAAGAACCCCGAUUGCGAAGGCAGCUUGCUGCAGCGGAACUGACGCUGAUGCUCGAAAGCGCGGGUAUCGAACAGGAUUAGAUACCCUAGUAGUC
rnacentral:rRNA from 1 species